CGUAGGGGGCGAGCGUUGUCCGGAUUUAUUGGGCGUAAAGAGCUCGUAGGCGGUUCGGUAAGUCGGAUGUGAAAUCUCUACGCUCAACGUAGAGGGGCCAUUCGAUACUGCCGUGACUCGAGUCCGGUAGGGGAGUGUGGAAUUCCCGGUGUAGCGGUGAAAUGCGCAGAGAUCGGGAGGAACACCCGUAGCGAAGGCGGCACUCUGGGCCGGUACUGACGCUGAGGAGCGAAAGCGUGGGGAGCAAACAGGAUUAGAUACCCUGGUAGUCCACGCCGUAAACGUUGGGCACUAGGUGUGGGACUCUAUCGACGGGGUUCCGUGCCAUAGCUAACGCAUUAAGUGCCCCGCCUGGGGAGUACGGCCGCAAGGCUA
rnacentral:rRNA from 1 species